AAUUUAAUAAUAUAUACCAUAUAUGUUCAACCUUUUUACUAGAGGUGUUCACUGUAACUUGUAAGAAGUUAAUAGAAUAUAAUUUCUAAUUUUUAGCAUAGCUAUGGGAUUGGGAGUUUUAGCGGCUUUUAAAUGUAACUGCUCAUCGCCGUGGAUGUACUUGAGAUUAACGAAGUUAAUAAGUCAUAGGCCUAAGUUUUUGUUACAUUUGAGAUCAUCCACAGUUUGUUUGGAAACAAAGUUGUUCAUUUCGCACUGUUAUCAGAAUGUGAGAUCACAGUGUUUUCGAAGUUUUUCAAACAAAAGCCCAUCUUUACAAGAUCACGGUGUUGAACAAAAAAUAGACUUAAUAAGAAAUAUAGGCAUAAUUGCCCAUAUUGAUGCUGGUAAAACUACAACAACGGAACGUAUGUUGUAUUAUUCAGGAUUUUCUCGUACAAUGGGUGAAGUUCACGAGGGAGAUACAAUUAUGGACUAUAUGCCACAGGAAAGAGAGCGGGGAAUAACUAUAACAUCAGCAGCGAUCACUUUUCCAUGGAAGGGCUACAAAAUAAAUCUGAUUGAUACACCAGGCCAUGUAGACUUUACUAUUGAGGUGGAACGAUCAUUAAGAGUAUUGGAUGGUGCUGUAGCAAUCUUGGAUGCAUCUGCAGGAGUGGAAGCUCAGACUCUUACUGUUUGGUCACAGGCUAAUCAUUAUGAUCUUCCACGUAUUGUGUACAUCAAUAAAAUGGAUAAACUAUCAGCAAGAUUUAAUGCAAGUGUUGAAUCAAUAAAAACAAAGCUUCACGUUAAUCCAUUAAUAUUACAGUUACCAGUAGGACAAGGAAAGUCAUUCAAGGGUGUUGUAGAUCUUAUAACACUGGAAAAGUGUCUUUGGGACAUAAAAAAUCCACAUAUUGAUGAUGGAAGUGUAUUCAAAAAAUUAAAACUCAGUUCUGCUGUUGAUGGCAGUUUUUGGGAGGAUGCUUCUUGCAGAAGGGAACAACUAAUUAAUCAUCUUGCAGACCUGGAUGAUGUAUUAGCAGAAAAAAUACUACAGGAUGAAACAACUACCCAUUUGAAAGACGAUGACCUUUAUGCUGCUGUGAGACGUGUUACUUACAGUCAGAGUGGUGUUCCUGUUUUAUGUGGUAGUUCAUAUCAUAACAUUGCUGUACAGUUUCUUUUAGAUGCUAUUAAUGCAUAUUUACCUAGUCCAUUAGAUAGAAAAUAUGAGUUCCUUAAAUAUUAUGGUGAAAGUCUCUGUUGCUUGGUUUUUAAAAUUGUGCAUGAUAAACAGAAAGGACCUUUGAGUUUUGUUCGUGUAUACUCGGGAAAGGUUGAGCAAGGACAGAAGAUUUAUAAUGUAAACAGGUCACAAACAGAAAAGUUAGCAAGAAUGUACUGUCCAUAUGCUGAUGACUUCAGAGAAGUAAAAUCAGCUCAUUCUGGAAGUAUUGUUGUACUUACUGGAUUAAAAAAUGCUGUAACUGGAGACACUCUUGUAGCAUCUCAUCAUCAAGUUGAUGUUAUAGCUGAACAGAAGCUAUUAGAGGAAGAAGAAUCUGCAGUUUCAAUUGGAAUACAAGUUCCAGAUCCAGUGUUUUUUUGUUCAAUUGAAGCACCAUCUCUAGCAUAUGAAAAACAACUUGAAUAUGCACUCCAGUGUCUUCAAAAAGAAGACCCAACAUUUAAAGUGCAUCUGGAUAGUGACUCUGGACAAACUGUUGUGUCAGGAAUGGGUGAACUUCAUUUGGAAGUUAUAAAGGAUCGCAUUAAAACCGAAUAUGGUGUUGAAGCCUUUUUGGGACCCUUGCAAGUUUCCUAUCGUGAAACAGCUAAUAAUUCACAUCAGGAAACGGUGGAAUUAAACAAGGUAUUAGGAGGUACAAAACAUUUUGUGAAAAUUACAUUAGCAAUUAAGCCUGCUCUUGGUGAGGGGAAAGUUUCAAAAGUACAAGUUGUACCAGAUAAAAAUAAUGAAUUAGGCAAAAUUCGUCUUGAUUACCUGAAAGCUGUAAAUAAUGGUGUGGAACAAAGCAUCAGUUGUGGACCACUUAUUGGCUUUCCUGUUAUUGAUAUACACAUAGCUCUACACUGUUUAGAAGUUGGUCCUAGAACCUCUCUUGCUAUGAUCUCAGCAGCAGCCUCCCAGUGUAUACAUUCUAUUUUAAAGAAUGCUGGUACUCAACUCCUUGAGCCAGUUAUGAAAUUAGAAGUAGUGACAGAUGAAAAUCACUUGAGCCAAAUAUUAGCAGAUCUAUCCCAGAGACGAAGUCAGAUUCAGGAAAUACAAUUCAGACAAGAAAAUCGCAUUGUAACAGCCAUUACUCCAUUAGCUGAGUUAAAGAAAUAUUCUACAGAUCUUCGAACAGUGACUUCAGGAACAGCAACCUUUUCAAUGGAGUUUCAUUGUUAUCAACAGAUGUCUUCAUACGAUCAGCAGAAAGCAAUAGAAGAAAUUACUGGAUUUGUACAAUUUUAAUAUUUUUCUAUCACAGUACUCAUGGUAAACUUUUAAAUGGUUCCUUAACUUAAACUUACAUCAUUUUCUAUUUCCUGAUGACUAGAGAAAUGUAUUAGCUAAUUCUGGAACUAUAAGUAUAGAUAGUUAUUUCAGUUAGUUUUAGCUUCUGUGUUUAAGUUAUGCAUUAAUAUCAUGCACCUAACAUACUAAAUUAAACUUACUUGUAAUGUUGAGUUUGAGUUUGCAAUUUUGAUUCAGUUAUAAAAUUUUUCAAGUGUUUUGUUUAUUACAUAAGAACAUAUGGACAACAAGGGACCAUUUGGUCCUUCAAAUUGAAAAUGGUGUUGAAGAAUUUUUGGGACACUUGUAAGCUUAUUAUCAUGAAACAGUUGAUAAGUCACAUUCUUCAAUAUAGCUAGAAAUACUCGAGAGCUGAAUGCCAACAAGCAACAGUGAGCUUUACCAACUUGUUAUCAAUAUCAUUAAUGUAAAUAAGAAAAAGCAGAGGACCAAGUACUGAUCUCUGAAUACUUCACUAGUAACAAGAGUCCAGUUUGACUGAUAUCCAUAAUAACCUUUUGCUUUCUCUUAUUCAACAACCAGCUGUCCUAUUAUCUUGCCUUUCCUCUAUUUCUGCAUAUGUGACUCUUAGUUAUUCUUCUGUGUGACACACUGGAAGCUUUUGAGAAUGUAAAUACACUCUUUCUCUCAUCCAGAUUAUUUCUGUGAACCAUAUCCAUACAGGAUGUUGGUGACUAUGGCUUUCCAAAGAUCUCUUCUUGAGACACACAGAAUGUCCAGUGUUGAUACUUUCAUCCAUCUUGGUAGACUCUGGACAAAGUAAACCUCUGUCUUCCAUGGUCUCUCCUUCCUUCAAUCUUUCUAGGUAUGACCAGACUUUCAAUUUCUUUUUUCCUCAUAACAUGUCCGAAAAACUCCAACUGUCUCUUUCUGAUGUUAGUCAGCAGCUUCCCCCUGGCAACCUGCUCUUGUCAAAAUAUCUUCAUUUGAAGUGUGACUUGUUCAACUUACCUUCAAGAUGUGUCUUAAGAACCACAACUCAAUUACUUGAAUUCUCUUUUCCAUAAUUGGUGAUAUUGUCCAACAUUCUGAUGCAUACAUGAGAAAUGGCAUAACAUAGCAAUCCAAAAUCUUAACAUCAUCUCCUUAAAAAUUUUAUUUCGGUCAGUAUAUUUUUUAUUUUCAGAAAUGCAUUUUUAGUCAUCCCUAUUCUUCAUUUUAUUUCAUGAUCACAUUUACCAUCUGAUGUUAUCCAGCUUCCCAGCUAGUUGAAUUUAUUGACCUGCCUUAUCUAUUUCGUAUCUACAUUGACAAUGCAUACAGGAAUGAUCUUCUUCGCAAUUAUCCAGAUUACAAGUAAAAAAAGUUAAUUGAGUACUGGGGCAUGAUUUCCCUUUGGUGAAUCCACAUCAGCUUUCUUUAUUAUACAUUUCACUACAUGGUUUUGUAAAUAUUAAUUUACCAAGCUCUUUAGAACUUUUCUCAUUAAAAAGAUAAGACUAGCUAACUUAUUUCCAGGGCAACUUUUAACAGCCACUUUAGAAAUAGGAGUAAUAUUAGAAACUCUUCAAUCUUCUGGCACCAGCUCAUUGUCUGUUGAUUUGAUAAAUAUGAAAGAGAGAGGUUUACACAUUAGCUCUUAGACCUCUUAAAAAAUUUGGUAAAAACCUUGUCUGUUCUUAAUCUGUCUUUCAACUUACCACAAGGGAUGCAAUAUCUACAAGAUUCAGGUCAAUUUUAUUAUUCCUAUAGAAUGCUUAAGGUCAAGAAUUUUACUAAUAUCUUUUUUCUCUUGUAAAAAAAAGAAGAGAAUAAAACAUUUAAAAGCUCGGCCAUCUCAUCAUCUUCAAUAAAAACCUUGCUAUUUUCAUUCCUUUAAGGACCCAAUCCCCAUUUUGCUUACCUUUAACAUAGUAGAAAAAAAUCCAUGCUAUCAGUUUAGUUUUAACAUAAUCAGCCAGCCUAUCUGUCAAUUUAAACUUAAACUUGGGCAUUUACUUCUGGUUUUCUCUAUUAUAUAUUUAGUAAGCAAUUACGUUUGAUCUUCCUUGUUGAUAUUUCCACUUUUAAGGUACAUGCCUGUCUUGAAAAAAAAAGCAUCUUAUUUUCGUGAAUUUUUCCAAAGCUGUUUUACAUCACCUUUUAAUGCAUUAUCCCAAUUCACUAAUGAUAAUUCUUGUUUCAUGGCCUCAAAAUUGGCUUUAUAAAGUUUAUGAAUUAAGAUUUAAAUUCUUUUUACCUCAACAUGUAGUAAAACAUCAAACCUAAUUGUAUUAUAAUCACUUUUUCCCAAAUGAAACCAUGUCUUCAUUAGUGGUUAACAGUAAAUCUAAAAUUGCAUCCCCUCUAAUUGAAUAUCUGACCAUGUGGUAUAGAAAUCCACCCUGAAUCACUUCAAUAAACCACAAUUGACUACUGUUAUAAAGACACACUCCUUGAACUGGAGCCAUGUCUGGUUUUCCAUAUUUUAAACUUCAAGUUUUCCUGCCUGUUGAUUUUUAAAACUUUACUCAGGAUACUUAGAAUUCAGUCCAACAAAUAGUCUUAAAACCCCCAGUCAUUUCUCCCAAAGAAAACACAUAUGAAGUGUCUUCAACCUAAUAUCUUAUGAUACACCAUCCAAAUCUAGAAUCAUUAUGAUAUCUCUUCUGAACCCUUUCCAAUAACCUUUUUUUCUUAAAAAAAAAAGAUGACAAAAACUUGACAUAAUAUUCCAGGUGAAGUCUAACAAUCAUCUUUAUAGAGUAAACUGAUGACUUUCUUUGAGUUGUAUUCAAUAUUUCUAUGUAUACAAUUUAAAAUUCUGCUUACCUUAUUACUGUCUAAUGUAUAUUUUUAAUAGACGGGUUUAGAGACUAAUAUCUAAAUCAAAACUUUUUCCUCAUCAAAUUUACCUAGAACUUCUCAUGUAAGGCUAUAAGAAUAUUUGUUUUUUUUAACCAAUAGAGGGUUUACACUUGACUUCACAAGUUCUCUCUAUGCCAUCUUGGAAGACAGGCAAUAACUCACAGCCAUGCAUUGAUAAACACUAGCAUUAAGAGGACUGUACUGAUAUAACAAGAAAUACAUAAUGCAUAGCUUUUGUGCAGUAGUAAAUUGUUUUAACAGAGGUGACAGUGAUAAAGAAAAGUCAUUUUCUCCACUUAUCUUAAGUGAUUGAGCCUCAAAGAAAGAAAACCAGACAAUUAUCAAAAGAUGGACAAGUCAGUUGGCUAGUACACAUCAUUAGGGCUGAUACUAAAGAGUAGUUACACCUACAUUAGAGUCUGUUCGGAACAUUUCAUUGCUGGGAAACUGGCAAACUUGUAUGAUUACAUGAAUCAUGACUGAGGCUCAAUAAUCAACAUGUGACACAACACCUACAACAGAUCUGAAGUCACGAUAUGGGUAUGCAGUUCAGUGUUCAACAGAAAUAAAGCAGUGCAGCUGCAGCAUUGUUAAUGCUACAGAGGUUUAGAUGUGUUAAUGAAGUCCCAAACUAGUCGUAUACUGUGGAGACUUGGACAUCAUCACAGACUCAGCUGCACAUGAAACUAGUUUCAUCCAUUGAGCAUGAGCUGCAGAGAUUGCUUGGCAAAAAUGUUGGACUAAAGAAAGAAGUACAGUUGUCUGAUGUUUCACCUGAUUAUUUUGAUACUAAUGAUGUCAUGUACUACACUAGACUUACAAAUUACACAGUACUCAUGGCACUUUUAUCUGGAGCCAUAUAUUCUACUCACGGACAGAAGCUGUUUCACAAAUUUUCAACAGCUACUAUUAACUUUAAUGAAACUUCAACUCAAUUUAUUAGUGCAGGACCCAUCUUACAGAUUUCAUAAAUCAACAGCCACAGUGAACUAUAUGUUUCUUUUAAUAAUUGACAUUAUGUUUGUGGAACUGGUCUGAAAAAGAGAACCUUAAAAAAAACCAUGCCAAUGAGUUUUCAUGCUCAUUUUGGAACCAAGGCUGCAGUUGUUGUGAAAUGUUUUGAGGUGUUUUAUCAACCAACCACCAAACCUAAUGGCUUGUGCACAAUCCUGGUCAUCUUAUAAACAUCACAACACAGCCAAGUUUCUUAUUGGAAUUACACCCCAGGGUGAUAAAUUUAUAACAGAGCUUUGUGGCAUAUUGAACAAACUUCUUUCUGGAGAUGUCGUGCAAACACAUGAAGGUCUGGACUUUCAGGACAGUGUAGGAAUUAUGUGUACUGAAGUCAAUAUUUCUGCAUUUACAAAUAGAAAAACAACAAUUUUCAGCCAGGGAAAUAGACCACACAAGAGAAAUUUCCAACUUUAGAAUACAUUUGGAAUGUGUUUUAGGUUCUGUUAGAAUUAUAAUAUUCUAUAAACAAUGCUGCCCAUUGACUAUAGUAUCAUUAAGAAGGGUGAGGAAUGUACAACAAUUGACAAAAUGGUAUGUGUGUAUUAUGCUUUAGUCAGAAUAAUGUAAUUUGACUAAGAAUGAAAGAUAUUUUGUGGAUCUAUUUGCCUAUUCUUAAAUUAUUAUUUUUUAUAAACCGUAGAACGUUUUAGGUAGUUGAGUAAAUGUGAUGAAAUUACUUUUGCAAAUCAUUAUCACAUGAAAUGCUUAAAGGAGUAGGCCAAAUUUAUAAUUUUCUGUUAAUUUAGUUGGAAACUAAAGUUUACAAAGUGUCAGGUUGAAUUUAAGAGCAGUUUUUCUUUUGUACAAUUUUUCUUUAGAACUGUUUUCAUGCGACAACUAAAACUACAGAAUUUUUUUCAUUUGGUCUUCAUGCUGAAACAUUUUCCUAUAAACUCCACAAGAACAUUCAAAAUUAGAAUUGGAAAAUAUGAAUUAAAUGGUCAAAGUCGGUGAAUACAAGAGAAUUCAUAUUUAUAUGUGAUGUAGUGAUAUGAAAUCAUCUUGAAUAUUUUCCAGUAAAGUGAACAUGAGAAAAUUAUAUUUAUUAA